rnacentral:rRNA from 1 species
UACAGAGGUCUCAAGCGUUGUUCGGAUUCAUUGGGCGUAAAGCGUGCGCAGGCGGUCGUUCAAGUCGCGUGUGAAAGCCCCCGGCUCAACUGGGGAGGGUCACGCGAUACUGAUCGACUCGAAGGCAGGAGAGGGAAGUGGAAUUCCCGGUGUAGUGGUGAAAUGCGUAGAUAUCGGGAGGAACACCAGUGGCGAAGGCGACUUCCUGGCCUGUUCUUGACGCUGAGGCGACGAAAGCUGAGGGGAGCAAACGGGG